UACGGAGGGUGCAAGCGUUAUCCGGAUUCACUGGGUUUAAAGGGUGUGUAGGCGGGUCUUUAAGUCAGUGGUGAAAUCUCCGAGCUCAACUUGGAAACUGCCAUUGAUACUAUAGAUCUUGAAUUUUGUUGAGGUAGGCGGAAUAUGUCAUGUAGCGGUGAAAUGCAUAGAUAUGACAUAGAACACCGAUUGCGAAGGCAGCUUACUAAGCAAAUAUUGACGCUGAGGCACGAAAGCGUGGGGAUCAAACAGG
rnacentral:rRNA from 1 species